CACUACUCUGCUACGGCUGCCCAACGUUUCCAACCACCCACUCACCGUCUGAUGGCGGCCCGACUUGGCCCUGAAGAUGGUGGUGGCGGUGGGGCGGGUGGUGAUGGUGCGUCCAACAGCGGCCCCAGCAAAGCCAAGUUAUCAAGCGCAGGGGGAAAAAAGAGGGAGAGUAUCCUCACGAAUGGGAGAGAAGACAAAAAAUAAAAUUAGAAAGU
rnacentral:lncRNA from 1 species